rnacentral:piRNA from 1 species
CAGGGCUAUGCAAGUCUGCGCAGU